rnacentral:lncRNA from 1 species
CCAAAAUCCAUUUGGAUCCCAAAAUCCCACGGGACCCCAANNNNNNNNNNCACGAAAUUCCCAAAGCCGGGGGAACCCCAAAAUCCAUUUGGAUCCCGAAAUCUCGAGGUGCCCCAAAACCUGGAAGUGCCCAAAUCUCAAAAGGACCCCAAAAUUGGCACUGCUGAAAUCCCACAGAACCCCAAAAUCCCACGGGAUCCCAAAAUCCCACGGGAUCCCAAACCUGGCACUGCCACGAAAUUCCCAAAGCCGGGAGAACCCCAAAAUCCGAUGGUGCCCCAAAAUCUGACAGUGCCCAAAUCCCACGGGACCUCAAAAUCCAUUUGGAUCCCAAAAUCCAGUGGGAACCCAAAACUUCGAGGUGCCCCAAAACCUGAAGUGUUCCAACAUCCCAGGGCCCCAAAAUCCUACAAGACCCCAAAAUCCUGUGGGAUCCCAAAAUCCAGUGGCACCCCAAAACCUGAGAGUGCCCAAAUCCCACGGGAUCCCAAAAUCCNNNNNNNNNNCCCAAAAUCCAGUGACACCCCAAAACCUGAGAGUGCCCAAAUCCCACAGAACUCCCAAAAUCCAUUUGGAUCCCAAAAUCCCAACGGGAUCCCAAAACCUGAGAGUGGCCAAAUCUUGCGGAACCCCAAAAUCCUGUGGGAUCCCAAAAUCCCACGGGACCCCAAAAUCCAUUUGGAUCCCAAAAUCCCACAGGACCCCAAAACCCAACACUGCCACGAAAUUCCCAAAGCCAGGGAACCCCAAAAUCCAUUUGGAUCCCAAAAUCCUGAGGUGCCCCAAAACCUGGCAGUGCCCAAAUCCAACGGGAUCCCAAAAUCCAGUGGGUCCCCAAAACCUGAGAGUGCCACGAGAUUCCCAAAGCUGGGGAACCCCAAAAUCCAUUUGGAUCCCAAAAUCCUGAGGUGCCCCAAACUCGGCACUGCCACGAAAUUCCCAAAGCCGGGGGAACCCCAAAAUCCUGAGGUGCCCCAAAACCUGGAAGUGCCCAAAUCCCACGGGACCUCAAAAUCCAUUUGGAUCCCAAAAUCCAGUGGGAACCCCAAAACCUGGCAG